rnacentral:lncRNA from 1 species
CCAUGAAAUGGUCUGCAUCUUUGGUAAUUAUUAAUCUGGGAUAAACAUGAUCUCCUGAUACAAUAAAAUAUGAUUCAUUUUCUUCCAAUUCAUAAACAAUUUUGACAAAUGAUCUAUAUUCUUCUUCUUUUGAUAAUAAAGGAGUAUCAUCAUUUUCAUCAGUUUUGAUCCUGAUAACUUUUGUAUGUUCAUCACCAUUUUUU